UACGUAGGGGGCAAGCGUUAUCCGGAUUUACUGGGUGUAAAGGGAGCGUAGACGGCGGUGCAAGCCAGAUGUGAAAGCCCGGGGCUCAACCCCGGGACUGCAUUUGGAACUGUGCUGCUAGAGUGUCGGAGAGGCAGGCGGAAUUCCUAGUGUAGCGGUGAAAUGCGUAGAUAUUAGGAGGAACACCAGUGGCGAAGGCGGCCUGCUGGGCUUUUACUGACGCUGAGGCUCGAAAGUGUGGGUAGCGAACAGG
rnacentral:rRNA from 1 species